AUUUCUGCCUGUGCAAAAUCAGCCAAGACUGUCACCUUGCAACAUCUGCUCUCUCAGAUCAUGGAAAAUAAAAAAGAUGAAAGAGCUAUUGACGUCCUUAGCAAAGUGGCUGAAGAUUUGCUUGAAUACUUUGACAGGUUCAGUGAAUUACUUCCAAGUGUUGAGUAUGAUCCCAAAGCGGUUUCUGCAGCAAACUCCUCUAGAGGAAUUCUCCUUAAUGAAGAAACUCUGAAGAAACUUGAAUGUGGGAAUUGCUGCUGGGAAUGCUAAUGGGAAAUAUGUAGCUGGGUUCCUUAUUAGAGGAAUUUAGUUGGUAUCAAUGUAGUCAUUCCAGUGGCUAGGAAUUUGUUCCUUCUUUAGUAAAUGAGAAUUGUUUGUGUGGGCUUGAGAUUUACACUUGACAUUUUAACUGAAGAUAAGUAAAGCUGUGGGGCUGUCCUUUCUCUUAGGGAAUGUCCUUAACAUUUGACCAAGAGAUGCARAGCAGGGAAGAGUGAGCUCCCAACCAUGACUUUUCUGGCUCUUGCUGUGGUACUGGGGCAGGUGAUGGGUCAAGGGCAAGACUGGAAUGUAAACACUAGAGUGCAGCUUUCAGAACUAAUUUGGCUGAUGAAAAUAUGACCAGCUAUGAGACUUCCUUAUGGGACAGUCAGAACCUUUUCAAUCCUUUCAGGGCGGGUCUGGGGCUUGCAGAAGUAUAAAUUUCUGUUACCCUCUCUGUGUAGCGCAGGUCAGAUGCAAUCAGUAUAAAGUUGUUUCUGCAGUUGUUCUAAAACCUGUUCUAUUUCUGCUGAUAAAACAUGCACUUAUAACAAGGACAAAAGUGCACCUGCUAUUUUGAAAUUCCAGUCCUUACUGUCCUCUAUGUAAACACAGCCUCUUAGGACAGCCUAACUUCUUGAGUCAUAAAGCAGUGUUAACUUCAUUGAUUUUAAUGAAGCUAAUUUAAUUUUAGUUUCUGAAAUUAUAUCUAUUUUAGGUCUAUAAAUAAUCAAGGUUUUUAAGUGUUCCUGAUAAAUGCAAAGUCAUCUUUUAUUAGUUUUGUUCUUCUGUCAAUGUUUUAGGUUGCAUUUGGAAACAUAAACUUCAGUAAUAUUGGUGAUGACAGAUGCUGAAGCAGCUGAAUAUUUGUCCUGCUUCUGGAAUGAGCCAUAGGGGCACUGCUAAACUUUGCAAGAUAAACAUUUUCUUUCUGUGCAUGUUCUGUUGGCUUUUAUUCAAGCUUAAAGGCAAUAACAGAGAAGUGUUGUGAUAAGCUAAUAUUUCAAAUCUGAAUUACAAGUCAAAUUAUGAAUCUAUAGCAAGUUGUGAUCUGUCAAAAAUGCACUUAUGUGCUUAGUUUCAAGGAAGCUAAAUGAGAGUCUUAGUGAUUYCUGUGUUGCCUAUAACUUACACUAUUGUAACCUUAAAAGCAUGCACAUUACAUUUUUGUAGGUUUGGAGCAUUACGUUGUAAAUGCUUUGGAUCACAACUUGUAUCUCUGUAGAAUGGGAUGUGACUCUACUUUGCACAGUUGCAAUAGAAAUUGUAGCAAUAAAAUGGCAAAAACAAGGGCACUCUCAGUUAAACUCAUCCUUAUUGAACUGACGUUAGUAAUAAAUGACAAAAUAGAGCUGACA